AAUUCCCAGUGUAGCGGUGAAAUGCGUAGAUAUUGGGAAGAACAUCGGUGGCGAAGGCGUGCUACUGGACCGUAACUGACACUCAGGGACGAAAGCUAGGGGAGCGAAAGGGAUUAGAUACCCCUGUAGUCCUAGCUGUAAACGAUGGAAACUAGGUGUGGCUUGUAUCGACCCGAGCCGUGCCGUAGCUAACGCGUUAAGUUUCCCGCCUGGGGAGUACGCACGCAAGUGUGAAACUCAAAGGAAUUGACGGGGGCCCGCACAAGCGGUGGAGUAUGUGGUUUAAUUCGAUGCAACGCGAAGAACCUUACCAGGGCUUGACAUGUCGCGAAUCUCGGUGAAAGCUGAGAGUGCCUUCGGGAGCGCGAACACAGGUGGUGCAUGGCUGUCGUCAGCUCGUGUCGUGAGAUGUUGGGUUAAGUCCCACAACGAGCGCAACCCUUAUUUUUAGUUGCCAGCAUUAAGAUGGGCACUCUAGAAAGACUGCCGGUGACAAACCGGAGGAAGGUGAGGACGACGUCAAGUCAGCAUGCCCCUUACGCCCUGGGCUACACACGUACUACAAUGGUUGGGACAAAGGGCAGCGACUCCGCAAGGAAUAGCGAAUCUCAUCAAACCCAGCCUCAGUUCAGAUUGCUGGCUGCAACUCGCCUGCAUGAAGGAGGAAUCGCUAGUAAUCGCAGGUCAGCAUACUGCGGUGAAUUCGUUCCCGGGCCUUGUACACACCGCCCGUCACACCAUGGAAGCUGGUCACGCCCGAAGUAGUUACCCUAACCUUUCGAGGAGGGGGAUUCCUAAGGCAGGGCUAGUGACUGGGGUGAAGUCGUAACAAGGUAACC
rnacentral:rRNA from 1 species